rnacentral:rRNA from 1 species
GACGAACGCUGGCGGCGUGCCUAAUACAUGCAAGUCGUACGCUUCUUUUUCCACCGGAGCUUGCUCCACCGGAAAAAGAGGAGUGGCGAACGGGCGAGUAACAGGUGGGUAACCUGCCCAUCAGAAGGGGAUAACACUUGGAAACAGGUGCUAAUACCGUAUAACAAUCGAAACCGCAUGGUUUUGAUUUGAAAGGCGCUUUCGGGUGUCGUUGAUGGAUGGACGCGCGGUGCAUUAGCUAGUUGGUGAGGUAACGGCUCACCAAGGCCACGAUGCAUAGCCGACCUGAGAGGGUGAUCGGCCACAUUGGGACUGAGACACGGCCCAAACUCCUACGGGAGGCAGCAGUAGGGAAUCUUCGGCAAUGGACGAAAGUCUGACCGAGCAACGCCGCGUGAGUGAAGAAGGUUUUCGGAUCGUAAAACUCUGUUGUUAGAGAAGAACAAAGAUGAGAGUAACUGUUCAUCCCUUGACGGUAUCUAACCAGAAAGCCACGGCUAACUACGUGCCAGCCGCCGCCGUAA